AGUGCAGUGGUUAGUACCCCUCGUUGUGGCCGAGGAAACCGGAGUUCGAAUCUCCG
rfam:Aureococcus anophagefferens unplaced genomic scaffold ATRANscaffold_15, whole genome shotgun sequence.